rnacentral:rRNA from 1 species
GGGGAAUAUUGGACAAUGGACCGAGAGUCUGAUCCAGCAAUUCUGUGUGCACGAUGAAGUUUUUCGGAAUGUAAAGUGCUUUCAGUUGGGAAGAAAGAAAUGACGGUACCAACAGAAGAAGUGACGGCUAAAUACGUGCCAGCAGCCGCGGUAAUACGUAUGUCACGAGCGUUAUCCGGAUUUAUUGGGCGUAAAGCGCGUCUAGGUGGUUAUAUAAGUCUGAUGUGAAAAUGCAGGGCUCAACUCUGUAUUGCGUUGGAAACUGUAUAACUAGAGUACUGGAGAGGUAAGCGGAACUACAAGUGUAGAGGUGAAAUUCGUAGAUAUUUGUAGGAAUGCCGAUGGGGAAGCCAGCUUACUGGACAGAUACUGACGCUGAAGCGCGAAAGCGUGGGUAGCAAACAGGAUUAGAUACCCUGGUAGUCCGCACAGUAAACGAUGGAUGCCCGCUGUUGGUACCUGGUAUCAGCGGCUAAGCGAAAGCAUUAAGCAUCCCACCUGGGGAGUACGCCGGCAACGGUG